ensembl:snoRNA
AGACUCAUUAUAGAUUAGAAUGAGCACUGUCAAUUGGUGUCCAAAAUUGGUUAAAGUGGCUAAAAUUGAGACACAGGCCAUGUUUCCGUUGCAGUAAAUGCUUACAGUGGUGACAAUGAGAUCUGUGACAUUU